rnacentral:rRNA from 1 species
UACGUAGGGGGCAAGCGUUGUCCGGAUUUAUUGGGCGUAAAGAGCGUGUAGGCGGCCAGUCAAGUCUGCUGUGAAAACUCGAGGCUCAACCUCGAGCUGUCGGUGGAAACUGUCUGGCUAGAGUCCGGAAGAGGAGAGUGGAAUUCCUGGUGUAGCGGUGAAAUGCGCAGAUAUCAGGAAGAACACCUAUGGCGAAGGCAGCUCUCUGGGACGGUACUGACGCUGAGACGCGAAAGCGUGGGGAGCGAACAGG